CCAAUAGCGUAUAUUAAAGUUGUUGCAGUUAAAAAGCUCGUAGUUGAAUUUCGGGAUUGACGUGAUGGUCAUGCCUUAAGGGGUAUGAACUGUUACUGUUGAUUUCUCACCUUCUGGAGAAACUUGAUGUCCUUUAUUGGGUGUCUUGCGGAUCCAGGACCUUUACCUUGAAAAAAUUAGAGUGUUUAAAGCAGGCAUUUUUGCUCGAAUACAUUAGCAUGGAAUAAUAGAAUAGGACGGCAUGGUUCUAUUUUGUUGGUUUCUAGGAUCACCGUAAUGAUUAAUAGGGAUAGUUGGGGGCAUUAGUAUUCAAUUGUCAGAGGUGAAAUUCUUGGAUUUAUUGAAGACUAACUACUGCGAAAGCAUUUGCCAAGGAUGUUUUCAUUAAUCAAGAACGGAAGUUAGGGGAUCGAAGACGAUCAGAUACCGUCGUAGUCUUAACCAUAAACUAUGCCGACUAGGAAUCAGACGAUGUUAAUUUUUUAAUGACUCGUUUGGCACCUUACG
rnacentral:rRNA from 1 species